UUAUAGCUGAUAAUCACAAUG
rnacentral:piRNA from 1 species